AUGAGUUUUGAAGUGGCAGAAUCGGACGCGACCCUUCGCUCAGAUGGCGCAGAACAAAAAUCUAAUGAACCUGAGAUAA